rnacentral:rRNA from 3 species
UACGUAGGUGGCAAGCGUUGUCCGGAUUUACUGGGCGUAAAGGAUGCGUAGGCGGACAUUUAAGUCAGAUGUGAAAUACCCGAGCUUAACUUGGGUGCUGCAUUUGAAACUGGGUGUCUAGAGUGCAGGAGAGGUAAGUGGAAUUCCUAGUGUAGCGGUGAAAUGCGUAGAGAUUAGGAAGAACACCAGUGGCGAAGGCGACUUACUGGACUGUAACUGACGCUGAGGCAUGAAAGCGUGGGGAGCAAAC